rnacentral:tRNA from 1 species
CGUUCUAUGGCCGAAUUGGAAAAGGCAUCGCUGAUCACAGGCAGGGGUUGCGGGUUCGAGUCCCGCUGGAACAA